GGAGAGCUGUCCGAGUGGCCGAAGGAGCACGAUUGGUACUCGUGUAGACGGUCAAGGCCGUCUCAUGGGUUCACAUCCCUUGUUCUCCGCCA
rnacentral:tRNA from 1 species